AGGGGCAUAGUGAUAACGGUAGCACGUUGGUCUCCAAAACCAAUAGUCCGGGUUCGAAUCCUGGUGCCCCUG
rnacentral:tRNA from 1 species